GUAGAAGCAAGAAGUGCCAUGAAUGCUGCAUCAAUUUCUUGCUGAUACAUCAAGGUUUUUGUUGGUUACCUGGUAUGGCUUGAAACUGUACUAAGUAUUGUGCAAAAUUCUUUGUACGAAAAAUGGUGAAAUCUGACCGAUCUUCGGGAUGAUCGGUCACUCGUCUUUUCAACCACGUAACUUCUGCGCUAAACUUAGUAAGAGCUUGAAACUUGGAAGAACAAAUGAGGCAUUCCUGCUCUUUAAAACGAUAUAUAAUAAAGAAAGUUUUGCAAGCUAGAAAAGUUUUUUUGAGUGUCCGAAUAUAGGUGGUGUCCGAUCAUACAUAAGGUACUCUAGUACAUGUAGGUACUUCUGAAAUAAGCAACGUACUUCAAUGGCUCCUUGACUUAUGAUAUCCACCAAUACAAAAGCUAAUCUUUUGGUCAGUAGCACGCGAGAUCACGUGGGCCAACGAGCGUAGACGGAGGUCCGGCGGGUCAGUGGUCAGUAAACGAGUUCAUCGCUGUGGUCAGUCUGGUCGGUCAGGUCGGUCAGUAAAUGAGUGGGUACAGAUAAUAAGGACAAAUUAUCGAUUUUAAUGAAUUUGGUGCGCGGCAGUAUGCGGGCGGGCAACGGGAAACUAUGAAUUUAAUUGGAGUGGCCUUACUUAUUAACUAAAGUAACCACGUGACUUCACAUGUUAUGAACGUAUAAUCGAUUCACGUGUAUUUUUCUGUUUGACUAUCUAUGGUUUGACACUGUCUGUCCCUAAAUAGCCUUAAAACUACCACACAAAAGAAAGAGAUCUCCAUCACCUGACACAAGAGAAGAUGCUUCAAGAGAUGAUGAUGGUGCCAGUGAGUGGGUGAAGAAGAGAAAGAAAUAUGAUGACUCCCAUUUUGACAAAGACAGGUGGGGCUUAUAUUCCUCCAGCUCGAUAAAAAAUCAUGCAAGCACAGAUACAGCCAGUGCUCCAUAUCAAAGGAUGGCAUGGGAGGCUCUUAAUAAGAGCACUAAUGGUCUAAUUAACAAGGUCAACGUGUCAAAUAUUGCCAGCAUUGUCAGGGAGUUAGUACAAGAAAAUUUAGUCCAUGGGUGAGGAUUAUUGGCACUUGCAGUCAUUACAGCACAGUCGGCCUUACCCACCUUUACUAAGGUGUACACUGCACUUGUUGCAGUCAUUAAUGUAAAAUUUCCUCAAAUCGGGGAGCUAAUUGCUAAGAGACUGAUUAUUCGUUUUUGUAAAGCAUUUGCAAGAAACAACAAGAUUAUUUGUUUGUUGUCUGUCAGUGACUGUAUUACGGGAAGAUCCUACAAGCUACUAUUCAGAAGUCUUAAUUGCUAUGACAACGCGUGAUUGACCCCUUAUUGCCCAGGUGAUGUUGUACUCUCAGGGUUUCAGGACUAUAGUACCU